CACAAAGAGAAAGGUAAACCAGUGAGAUGAGAUGGUUUGUAGCCCUGGAAGAUGGUGAUGUAACUGUAUUCUUCUGCCACCCCCCCCCCCCCAUUUAAUAUUUGAAUUUUAAGAAGGUUAAACUAGAAUAGUAGGGGAAUAAUUCACUGACCCUUGAGCAAUGAAUUAGAAUGUUAAAAAGGAACCCCAAUGGGAUCCCUGUAUUUGAUGACAUAGUAGGCCAGUAGAAGAUCCCCACAUCGGGUGGCAUUGGUGAGGCACUUAAAGAAUUCUCAUGGUUGCUCUCAUUCUCAUGCUAACACGCCUGUCACAUUCUCACACUAACACGCCCACAAUUUCUAACAGCAGAGAGGGAGAGAGAGAAAAGGGGUGGGAGGGAAUCCCAUUUGGAACAGCAGCAGCAAAGGCUCAGCUGGUGUUUUGGACUACAACUCUCACAAUUCCCAACACCACUGGCCCUCCCAACACAGGUCACAGUCAAAUCAUGGAAGGGAGGAAAAGGGUACCCUAAAAGACUAUUUUAUUUUUUUUGAAAAGCAGUAGCUUACAACCAAACCUUCUUGCUUGGGGAGCAAAAGGGAAAUUGCCCAAAAGGUUUAUUUUGACUUCUCCCCCAAUUUCUCCUCCCACAAAUUGGGUGAUCCUAACGUGAGAGCAAUGAGGGCUACUUCAUUCCAAAUUUGGCAAAACAUCCAGAGCUUUGAGAAAAAAGAGGAAAACACCUAGAUGCCACAACAACUGGCCCCAUGUUUCCUUUGUUUUUCAGAAAGCGAUGAAGGGUUCGCCAGCACUGAGGAAGCAAGUGAGAAAGAUUCCCAUAACUCUGAGGAACGUACAUCAUUGUGUUCAUCUGGCAGUUCUGGUAGCACCGAAACAGGUAAAUUGGGGGCAGGGG